rnacentral:rRNA from 1 species
UACGUAGGGGGCAAGCGUUGUCCGGAAUCAUUGGGCGUAAAGAGCGUGUAGGCGGCCCGAUAAGUCCGCCGUGAAAGCCCAGGGCUCAACCCUGGGAUGCCGGUGGAUACUGUCGGGCUAGAAUCCGGAAGAGGCGAGUGGAAUUCCUGGUGUAGCGGUGAAAUGCGCAGAUAUCAGGAGGAACACCGAUGGCGAAGGCAGCUCGCUGGGACGGUAUCGACGCUGAGACGCGAAAGCGUGGGGAGCAAACAGG